GAAGCUGGAAUUGCUAGUAAUGGCAGGUCAGCAUACUGCCGUGAAUACGUUCCCGGGCCUUGUACACACCGCCCGUCACACCAUGAGAGUUGGGAAUACCCGAAGCCUGUGAGCUAACUUAUAGAGGCAGCAGUCGAAGGUAGAAUCAAUGAUUGGGGUGAAGUCGUAACAAGGUAAC
rnacentral:rRNA from 1 species